rnacentral:rRNA from 1 species
GACGAACGCUGGCGGCGUGCCUAAUACAUGCAAGUAGAACGCAGUUGCGAACGGGUGAGUAACGCGUAGGUAACCUGCCUCAUAGCGGGGGAUAACUAUUGGAAACGAUAGCUAAUACCGCAUACUGUGAGAUGGACCUGCGUUGUAUUAGCUAGUUGGUGAGGUAAAGGCUCACCAAGGCGACGAUACAUAGCCGACCUGAGAGGGGGAUCUGCCAAACUGGGACUGAGACACGGCCCAGACUCCUACGGGAGGAAGUAGUAGGGAAUAUUCGGAAAGGGACGGCAAUCUGACCGACCAACGCCGCGGUAAUUC